UUCACAAAAAAGCUCCGGGCGCGCCCGCUGUCUCCCCCGCGUGUUCCCCCCCGGAGGUGGCGAGGGCGGCUGCGGCGCUGCCGGGCGGGGACACGGCCCCGCGGGGAACGCGCCGCAGGUCCCCGCUCUACGCUGCCCCCGGCCCGUGCCGGCGGUUCCCCGCUCCCCCCGCCCCCCGCCGCGGGGCACGGCCGCCCGCACCCGCCGCCGCUCCAGGGAACACGAUUUGGCUCCGGGCCUGUACACAUCUGAUGGGAAGGCAACGGCACGGAACACACAGGAGCUGAUGCGAGGAUGACGGUCUGAUCCCCUCCCCACGCUCGCUCCCAGACCAGCUGGCGUGGAAAGUUGGUGCCUGUGCCACUUUUCUGACGGGCAGUGUUGAAAAGCGCGCUGUGAAGCCCAGUGAGCUCGGUGGGAUCUGGUGCUGGUUCCCCGGGGCUGUGCACAAGUCCUCGGGCAGGGCCGGGCAGAGCUGCGGCACCUGCGGCACCUGGUGAGGACGCGGCGAGUGCUGAGGAGCCGAGCCCGGCAGAGCUGCCGCACUGCGGGUGCCAGACCAGGCUGGGCGCCCAGCCCGGGCCCUCCCACCUCUUCAUCCCACGGUGGGGGCGAGAGGAUGAGCGAGUGGUUGCGUGGUCCCCGUUGCCGGCUGGAGUGAAAGCACCAGCACUAGUCCAGAGCACCCGUGUCUGCAGAGACACCCGCCAUUAACCAACGGACAAAACCAAACCUUGCAAAAAUCCCCAAGCCUGAAUUUCUGACAUGAGGCUCUUAGUGGAUUUUCAGCACUGGUAGACUGUUCUGAGUAAGUGUUCUUCCCACGUCUGGAUUCCUCUUGGCAGAUGCUGACACAGAAAUGUGAGAAGAAAAAAAAAAAAAACACCACAAAAGGCAAUUUAUAUUUCAGACAGACAUUAGAAGACACUUUUUUACACUGGAGAUUAUUGUCUUUCUCAUUUUGCAGGCUGUGUCACUCACACCUACCCUAAAAACAAAUAAGGAUGGUUCUGCAUUCUGCCCAGUUCCAGUCUCCCCUGGGAUCUCCUGAUCCCUCCUGUGGCUCCGUUCCCACUGUCCCUUUCUUGCCUGGUACCCCAGGAUGUGUCACCCGAGGUGCAGGUGGCUCAUGGGUCACGUCACGUCUUGCCGGGACCGCCUGUCCUGGCCCCGGCUCUCCAGCGCGUUUGAGGCCUCUGCCAAGGCAGGAAACGGUCAGGAGAACUUAAACAUUUUCACUGUUUUCCCAGUUUGGGUGUGUUUGCCAUGGAACAGACGGAGCACCCCAGUUUGCAACACAUCGGCCAGGGGCCUUUUGAGAAACCAGUGAAGAUCUUCCUCGUAAACAGGAGAAAAAGAGAGCGAAGACAGAGAUAGGAAUUCCUUCUGUGGGAGGAAAGAUAUAUAUAUACAUAUAUAUACACAUAUGAUGUGUGUUUUUCCAGAGAAUCAGUUCUUUGCCCAAAGUGUUGUAUUUAUUGCUUCCCAGGGUCUCAAAGCUGCUCCAGUUCAAGGUUGUGGAACAGCUCCAGUUGCUUGCAGCAGCAGCAGAAUGAAGUCUUGUAUUUGCCAUGCUGUUUUCUUGCCUGAGGGCUGUAGAAAGGACAUGCUGUGCAUUUACAACAAGAUGCAUCUGCUUUUUUUUCCCCUGAAGUCUCUCUCAUCAUGAGUGUGAGGUUCCCGUGCAUCUGAAGUCAUUUCUUUUUCCUCUUACAUUUUUCUUGCCUGGCACAAAUUAUUACCAGCUGUAUAACUGCGAGUACAUUCAAAGAGUAAAGGUAUGAGUUCAGUCUAAUCAAACCUCCAGCAAAAUCCCAGGCACAUAAUCUUUCUCCAGGUGCAAAUUAUUUAAUUACAGGUGUGUGCUAGAACCUCUUGAAACACUCCAGCACCCACUGGUUGGAGAAUUAAAACGGGUCUGGGUGCUGCUGCAGAUGACCCGAACAUCUGUUUGCAACCUGAAAUCCAAGCAGAGGCUGAAGUCAUUGCCAGACACGUUUCCAAAGGCAUGGUUCAAAGCAUUUGACUGAAAUCACGCCAUUUUAGCUGAAUUCAUAGCAGUGAAACGUGCCAUGCGUUUGUUUUACCGGUCCCGUGGUGCUGGUGGUUGAAGUGGCGCUGGCGCUGCCCCGCAGCAGCCACUGCUGUCCCGCACACGCUGUGGACCUGUCGCUCCUGUGCUUUCCCUUUCCUUAGACAACGGUCGAAAUGCCGCUUGCCUGACUUUUUACCUCUUGGAAAACGCUUUAGGAGCAGGGACGGCUGUGUUGAGGCACAAAAUUACUUUGAGUUUUUUGCCUCUUUUUCUUGGGCAAAAUUCAAGUUACCUGCCUGGCUCUGGGGAGACUUCACAGGCUGGAGAUAUUAAAGACAUUCAGUAUCUUUC